UUGCAGGUUCCAGUUGUGGACUCUCUAGUUGAAACAUCCAGAGACUGAACUAAAACGCAGUUAAGAAAACGAACUAUUACGAACCCGUCUACUCCUCUACUACUACUGUACAACGGAAGGCGGGAGAAUAAGAGCGCGCGCAACGCCCCAACGCCCCUCCCUCGAGCCAUCCCUGAUCCCUGCGAAGGGGCGGGGACUUUUGCCCAAUAUAAAAGCGCUCGCGAGGGACGCGCUUCCUUCUUUUCGAGUGCGACUUGGAGGUAGCUGUGUCUUGGUUGAGGGGAGGAAGAGCGAGGGGGCGGCAGACGGAUGCUGCUAUCGGUCUGACUGGCUUCCACUUGUCCUCAGUACGCGCUGUAACCAGCUAGAGUACAAUCAGUAGUCUAUUUUAGCAAAAGGGAGGUUCUUCGUCUCGGAGCUUGAGGUGCUUCUAGAGGCCUCAGAGAGCCAAGCGCGUCUGUCGCACUUGCGCGCUGAGGAGGGAGGGGAAUCCGUUGAGAUGGCAAGUAUAUCGGGAAAACGGCAAAUAACUGUUAGGCCGCCUAGGUAAAGAGAGCUUAGAAUGCGGUUAUGGGGAGGGGGAUACAGAAACCUAGAGACACGGAACAGGCGGAGCCAAACGCCCCUACAGAAUAAAUGUGCUUCCAGCUGAGUUUGAACAUUGGCACUAGACAUGACAGUUGGUUCUUCUGAAAACGUGCAUGUAUUAAGAGGGGAGUGGUGAAAUGCUUGCACUCUUCUCAGUCUGUUAUAACAAUCAACAUAAAUAACUAAAGUGCCUGAAACUAUGACUGUGUAUCAAUUUGUUAUGGCUUGGAUAUAUUAAAAUACAAAUGGAGAAAUAUUUUUACUCUGCCUUGUAAA